UACGUAGGAGGCAAGCGUUGUCCGGAAUCACUGGGCGUAAAGCGCACGUAGGCGGAUCUUUAAGUCAGGGGUGAAAUCCCAGAGCUCAACUCUGGAACUGCCUUUGAUACUGGGGAUCUCGAGUUCGGGAGAGGUGAGUGGAACUGCGAGUGUAGAGGUGAAAUUCGUAGAUAUUCGCAAGAACCCCAGUGGCGAAGGCCGCUCACUGGCCCGAUACUGACGCUGAGGUGCGAAAGCGUGGGGAGCAAACAGG
rnacentral:rRNA from 1 species